CAGCACCUCAAGUGGUCAGGAUGAUUAUUGGGCCUAAAGCAUCCGUAGCCAGCUCUGUAAGUUUUCGGUUAAAUCUGUACGCUCAACGUACAGGCUGCCGGGAAUACUGCAGAGCUAGGGAGUGGGAGAGGUAGACGGUACUCGGUAGGAAGGGGUAAAAUCCUUUGAUCUAUUGAUGACCACCUGUGGCGAAGGCGGUCUACCAGAACACGUCCGACGGUGAGGGAUGAAAGCUGGGGGAGCAAACCGGAUUAGAUACCCGAGUAGUCC
rnacentral:rRNA from 1 species